rnacentral:rRNA from 1 species
CAGUAGCCGCGGGAAUACAGAGGGUGCGAGCGUUAAUCGGAUUUACUGGGCGUAAAGCGUGCGUAGGCGGCUUUUUAAGUCUGAUGUGAAAUCCCUGAGCUUAACUUAGGAAUUGCAUUCGAUACUGGGAAGCUAGAGUAUGGGAGAGGAUGGUAGAAUUCCAGGUGUAGCGGUGAAAUGCGUAGAGAUCUGGAGGAAUACCGAUGGCGAAGGCAGCCAUCUGGCCUAAUACUGACGCUGAGGUACGAAAGCAUGGGGAGCAAACAGGAUUAGAUACCCCUGUAGUCCCUGUCUCUUAUAA